GAGGAAGGCUGGCGGCGUGCCUAAUACAUGCAAGUCGAGCGAACAGACGAGGAGCUUGCUCCUCUGACGUUAGCGGCGGACGGGUGAGUAACACGUGGAUAACCUACCUAUAAGACUGGGAUAACUUCGGGAAACCGGAGCUAAUACCGGAUAAUAUAUUGAACCGCAUGGUUCAAUAGUGAAAGACGGUUUUGCUGUCACUUAUAGAUGGAUCCGCGCCGCAUUAGCUAGUUGGUAAGGUAACGGCUUACCAAGGCAACGAUGCGUAGCCGACCUGAGAGGGUGAUCGGCCACACUGGAACUGAGACACGGUCCAGACUCCUACGGGAGGCAGCAGUAGGGAAUCUUCCGCAAUGGGCGAAAGCUUGACGGAGCAACGCCGCGUGAGUGAUGAAGGUCUUCGGAUCGUAAAACUCUGUUAUUAGGGAAGAACAAAUGUGUAAGUAACUAUGCACGUCUUGACGGUACCUAAUCAGAAAGCCACGGCUAACUACGUG
rnacentral:rRNA from 1 species